AAGCGGCGAACGGGUGAGUAACACGUAGGUGAUCUGCCCAUCAGACGGGGACAACGAUUGGAAACGAUCGCUAAUACCGGAUAGGACGAAAGUUUAAAGAUGCUUCUGGCAUCACUGAUGGAUGAGCCUGCGGCGCAUUAGCUAGUUGGUGGGGUAAAGGCCUACCAAGGCGACGAUGCGUAGCCGACCUGAGAGGGUGAACGGCCACACUGGGACUGAGACACGGCCCAGACUCCUACGGGAGGCAGCAG
rnacentral:rRNA from 1 species